UACGAAGGGGGCGAGCGUUGUUCGGAUUUACUGGGCGUAAAGCGUGCGCAGGCGGUUUUGUAAGCCAGAUGUGAAAUCCCCCGGGCUUAACCUGGGAAUGGCAUUUGGGACUGCAAGGCUGGAGUGUGGCAGAGGAGACUGGAAUUCCUGGUGUAGCAGUGAAAUGCGUAGAUAUCAGGAGGAAUACCGAUGGCGAAGGCAGGUCUCUGGGCUGACACUGACGCUCAUGCACGAAAGCGUGGGGAGC
rnacentral:rRNA from 1 species